rnacentral:rRNA from 1 species
GGGAUAACUCGCCGAAAGGCGAGCUAAUACCGCAUGACAUUCCGAAGACCUCGGUCUUUGGACUCAAAGCCCGCAAGGGCGUCUGAGGAGGAGCCCGCGCCCGAUUAGCUAGUUGGUGAGGUAACGGCUCACCAAGGCAAUGAUCGGUAGCCGGUCUGAGAGGAUGGCCGGCCACACUGGAACUGAGACACGGUCCAGACUCCUACGGGAGGCAGCAGUGGGGAAUAUUGCGCAAUGGGCGAAAGCCUGACGCAGCGACGCCGCGUGGGGGAUGAAGCUUCUCGGAGUGUAAACCCCUUUCGACCCGGAAGAAUGACCCGCAAGGGUUUGACGGUACGGGUAUAAGAAGCCCCGGCUAACUACGUGCCAGCAGCCGCGGUAAUACGUAGGGGGCCAGCGUUGCUCGGAAUUACUGGGCGUAAAGGGUUCGUAGGCGGUGCGGCAAGUCGGGAGUGAAAUCUCUGGGCUUAACUCAGAGGCUGCUUUCGAAACUGCCGUGCUCGAGUGCGGGAGAGGCCAGUGGAAUUGCAGGUGUAGCGGUGAAAUGCGUAGAUAUCUGCAGGAACACCCGUGGCGAAGGCGGCUGGCUGGACCGCAACUGACGCUGAGGAACGAAAGCUAGGGGAGCAAACAGGAUUAGAUACCCUGGUAGUCCUAGCCCUAAACCAUCAGGACUUGGGGUGGCCCGCGUAGGCGGGUCGUCCCGUAGCUAACGCGUUAAGUCCUGCGCCUGGGGAGUACGGUCGCAAGACUGAAACUCAAAGGAAUUGACGG